GAUGAACGCUGGCGGCGUGCCUAAUACAUGCAAGUCGAGCGAACAGACGAGGAGCUUGCUCCUCUGACGUUAGCGGCGGACGGGUGAGUAACACGUGGAUAACCUACCUAUAAGACUGGGAUAACUUCGGGAAACCGGAGCUAAUACCGGAUAAUAUAUUGAACCGCAUGGUUCAAUAGUGAAAGACGGUUUUGCUGUCACUUAUAGAUGGAUCCGCGCCGCAUUAGCUAGUUGGUAAGGUAACGGCUUACCAAGGCAACGAUGCGUAGCCGACCUGAGAGGCGGGUAGGCCACCCUGGAACUGGGACGCGGUCCAGACUCCUACGGGAGGCAGCAGUAGGGAAUCUUCCGCAAUGGGCGAAAGCUUGACGGAGCAACGCCGCGUGAGUGAUGAAGGUCUUCGGAUCGUAAAACUCUGUUAUUAGGGAAGAACAAAUGUGUAAGUAACUAUGCACGUCUUGACGGUACCUAAUCAGAAAGCCACGGCUAACUACGUG
rnacentral:rRNA from 1 species